AGAGUUUGAUCAUGGCUCAGGAUGAACGCUAGCUACAGGCUUAACACAUGCAAGUCGAGGGGCAGCAUGUUGGUUGCUUGCAACCAAUGAUGGCGACCGGCGCACGGGUGAGUAACGCGUAUCCAACCUACCCUUGUCCAUCGGAUAACCCGUCGAAAGGCGGCCUAACACGAUAUGCGGUUCUCAGCAGGCAUCUAACGAGAAUGAAAUGUGAAGGAGAAGGAUGGGGAUGCGUCUGAUUAGCUUGUUGGCGGGGUAACGCCACAAGGCGACGAUCAGUAGGGGUCUGAGAGGAGGUCCCCCANAUUGGAACUGAGACACGGUCCAAACUCCUACGGGGAGCA
rnacentral:rRNA from 1 species